rnacentral:rRNA from 1 species
AACGGGGGAUGCAAGCGUUAUCCGGAAUCACUGGGCGUAAAGCGUCUGUAGGAGGUGAUGCAAGUCACUGGUGCAAAACUCUGGCUCAACCGGAGGAAAGCCAGUGAAACUGCAUGACUAGAGUGUGGGAGAGGUAGAAGGAAUUCCCUGAGUAGCGGUGAAAUGCGUAGAUACAGGGAAGAACACCGGAGGCGAAAGCGUUCUACUGGAACACAACUGACACUGAGAGACGAAAGCUAGGGGAUCGAAUGGG